CACUACUUCCACUGUGGUUGCAUGAAAAUUAGAUGCUGCAUAAAACUGUAUGAAUGCUUUUCAUUGAUUGAUUUUAUUAACAAAAUUGUGCUUACUACAAUAGAACUACGGAUCCUCCUGGUUGGUCACACUGGCCAUGGCAAGAGUGCAACUGGGAAUUCACUCCUAGGCAAAGAUGUUCUUAAGCAUGCACGUUCACAUGCAUCAGUGACCAAAACAUGUCAUAGAGAGGUGAGCAUACGAUUUGCAACAAAACUGGAUAUUAUUGACACACCUGGCUUUUUCGAUACUAGCCAUGAUGAUACCUUUGUCCAUGACGAAUUAUCAAAAUGUGUCGCUCUGACAAUUCCGGGCUUUAAUGCCAUUUUCUUUAUUCUUCGACCUGAACGAUUUUCAGAGGAGAUAGUCAACACUGUUGAUAUUUUUUUCAAUUUCUUUGGGGAAACCGUUGAUGACUACGCAUUUCUUGUAUUAACUUUUACGAAAAACAAGGAAGAGAAAGAGCAAUAUUUAGCAGCUGAAAAUGAACAGCAUGCAAAGUUAGUUGAACUUGUAAAGCGUUGUAAAAACAAGGUUUUGUUCAUUGACAAUGAUGCAAAACCCAAAAUCACUCAAGACCAAUUAGUUCAACAGAUAAUUAAAGAAGUAAAGGAAGCCAAUGGAAAACUGAAGCAACCAUAUUUUAGCAAUGAAGUCACAAAGAAAGUUGAAGAGCAUGCAAUCAGUU